UUUCUGUGCAGCAAAUGCAAGCCAUGAUUUGAUCUCUUUAUCCAACUUAGGCUCAUUUGAUAGGUCAACUGCAGUGUGUAGAAGAGAACAGGAAGUAGAGACCACAACAUUGUCUUUGCCCACAAUGGCCUCAAGAGUACAGAGUGUAUCAAGGGAAGCAGCAAGAUCAUUAGCCCAGAUGUUCCUUCCAUCAACUACUCCAGCAAAUAGGAAUUUGCCCGAAGGGAAUCCACCCUUAAUCAGAUCAAGGGUUUUAGUCCCACGAAUUAGGUCAAAUCCAAAUCCACUAACACCCU
rnacentral:misc_RNA from 1 species